rnacentral:misc_RNA from 1 species
UGAAAACAUGUUUUGAGUAAGAUAUAAAAUCUACACCAAUUAGUUAAGAAUCUUAACAUGCAGGACAAACCUCCUCAUGUCCAUUCUUAUUACUCGCCCAACAGACUUCCAACACCCCCAUACAAAUGAACCUUGCAGUAUUGACCCAUGUAUCUCGCAAAAACUAACAAUAGACGAGGAUCAUGAAUCAUCAAAAUUCAAGUACAAAGAACCAUAAUGCCCAUACUAAGUUGACAGCCACUAACCUUUAAAUUUUUUCCAGAUACAAUUAAACUCUAGAUCAGAUUUCACCUGUCAUUUGAAGCAUCCUACAUGAAGUCCAUUUGCUACUAUAUAUAUGUGAUUAAAAGAUGGGGGAAACGGGAAAGAGAUUAACAUCAAAGCACAUACAAAAGGGCUUCUGUUUAAACAAGUUCACUACCCCAUUCUCCAUUCUUGGAAACGUUGGAAAAGGAAGGAGGUUUUGGGUCCAAUAGCAUAACAUGUUGAUGCACUGUUGUACAGUAUGGGCACCAAUUCCAAAUGUCUGGGCAACAGACAAUGCAUGCUGCUUUCCAACGGUUAACAUAUCUACAAAGGAGAAAGUGCAGCAGCCACCUAGGACAAGUUAAAGGACAUACCAACUUGCAGACCCCAGACAGAUUCCUCUAAGGCAUAAAGGCGGGGUGAUUGAUGGAAUGGCAUCAAACAACUCACUUACCACCUAUCCUUGAAGAGCAUGAGUUCCAUGGCAACCUCUGGAAGUUAGCCAGUAUCAAUCCAAGAGCAGGGCUUCAUGGAUUGCUGGAUUUUGCCAUUGCGCAUCUCUACUGCCAAGAGGAUUGCUUAUAACCUUCCCAGCCACCCUCUGGCUCCUUCCUUUUCAAUAUGCCACUGCCCGGCACUUGAUACAUCCUUGACUGCUCCUCUGCAAUGGUCUGUGAACUGGCAAUGGACAAUUGCCUUGAUGCAAAAGCAGACGUCUCAUCUCUCCCUUCCAAGUCUGUGCCCAAAGGCCCAGCAUUGAGGUCUAGACCUUGCCUUCCCCAUUUCCUACUACUUUCAGAGCCAUUGAUAUUACUAAUAUCCUGGAGGCUAACAACAAAAGGACUUGGAUAAUGAGAUGGGACAGCAC